GACGAACGCUGGCGGCGUGCUUAACACAUGCAAGUCGAACGCUGAAGACCUGGCUUUUGUUGGGUUGGAUGAGUGGCGAACGGGUGAGUAACACGUGAGUAACCUGCCCUCUUCUUUGGGAUAACGCCCGGAAACGGGUGCUAAUACUGGAUAUUCACUGGCCUUCGCAUGGGGGUUGGUGGAAAGGUUUGUUCUGGUGGGGGAUGGGCUCGCGGCCUAUCAGCUUGUUGGUGGGGUGAUGGCCUACGAAGGCUUUGACGGGUAGCCGGCCUGAGAGGGUGACCGGUCACAUUGGGACUGAGAUACGGCCCAGACUCCUACGGGAGGCAGCAGUGGGGAAUAUUGCACAAUGGGCGAAAGCCUGAUGCAGCGACGCCGCGUGAGGGAUGGAGGCCUUCGGGUUGUAAACCUCUUUCGCUCAUGGUCAAGCCGCAACUGUGGGUUGUGGUGAGGGUAGUGGGUAAAGAAGCGCCGGCUAACUACGUG
rnacentral:rRNA from 1 species